rnacentral:rRNA from 1 species
UACAGAGGUCCCAAGCGUUGUUCGGAUUCACUGGGCGUAAAGGGUGCGUAGGUGGUUGCGCAAGUCUGAUGUGAAAGCCCCGGGCUCAACCUGGGAAUGGCCGUUGAAACUGGCGAACUGGAGUGUGGCAGAGGGGGGUGGAAUUCCGCGUGUAGCAGUGAAAUGCGUAGAGAUGCGGAGGAACACCGAUGGCGAAGGCAGCCCCCUGGGCUAACACUGACGCUCAGGCACGAAAGCGUGGGGAGCAAACAGG